rnacentral:lncRNA from 1 species
CAUAACUUACGUUAAAUUAAAAGUUAAUAUUCUGGUCAUAAUCCAAGUUGUUUAUAUGUCAGGCUAGUUGUAACUUGAGAGUCUGCUGUACUUCCUUAGUUUACAAACUGAAGGUAACAGAUAUGGCUAAUCGUGCAUUAAUAAUACUACAACAUGCAAUUUAAAAAAAUAUUUCUUCUUCAGCUACUAGGAUUGAACCCAGGCCUUCACUUUGAGCUACAUCUCCAUCCUUUGUUUAUUUUGUUUUGUUUUUUAUUUCAAGAGUCUUGCUAAAUUGCACAGGAUGCACCGGGACUUUCACUCUUCCUUCCUCACCCUCUCGGAGUGCUGGGUUUGCAGGCGUGUGCCACCACAAACUUCUGAAAUUUUAUUUUUAAAUAGCGCCAGGAUGCAGCACUUCUGGUACAAUCUACUGCUCUAGGGAUACAGGUAAACUCAUGGAGGCUGGUUGAUAUAGUUGCUAAGGAAAUUCCUAGUGACAACAUUAAUUCUGUUCAAUGCUGGAAUUCAGAAACAUCUGGGUACUUCUGGAAAUGAGGGGGGAUAACGGAAUCUGGAGGGAUGGGCAGUUUUGAUGAGCCCAUUUAGAAAGAACUCAUCCUAAGGAAACACUCUGGCCUUUAACCAUUACUUUAACCAAUUCUAAAUACCACCGGAGUAGGCCUUUAUCCCCUGAAGUAGGAUGAAGACUCCUGUUGUCAGGCACUCUCUGUUGCUUGGAUCCACCUGCAGCCUCACCA